rnacentral:rRNA from 1 species
UACAGAGGUCUCAAGCGUUGUUCGGAUUCAUUGGGCGUAAAGGGUGCGUAGGCGGCGCGGUAAGUCGGGUGUGAAAUCUCGGAGCUUAACUUCGAAACUGCAUUCGAUACUGCCGUGCUUGAGGACUGGAGAGGAGACUGGAAUUUACGGUGUAGCGGUGAAAUGCGUAGAUAUCGAGAGGAACACCAGUGGCGAAGGCGAGUCUCGUGGACAUUUCCUGACGCUGAGGCACGAAAGCCAGGGGAGCAAACGGGA